rnacentral:rRNA from 1 species
CAGUACCUCAAGUGGUCAGGAUGAUUAUUGGGCCUAAAGCAUCCGUAGCCGGCUCUGUAAGUUUUCGGUUAAAUCUGUACGCUCAACGUACAGGCUGCCGGGAAUACUGCAGCGCUAGGGAGUGGGAGAGGUAGACGGUACUCGGUAGGAAGGGGUAAAAUCCUUUGAUCUAUUGAUGACCACCUGUGGCGAAGGCGGUCUACCAGAACACGUCCGACGGUGAGGGAUGAAAGCUGGGGGAGCAAACCGGAUUAGAUACCCGAGUAGUCC